rnacentral:rRNA from 1 species
AUGCUUCGAAAUAAAAGAGCACCAUUUGCCAGGCUUGUCGAGACCUUCAGGAGCAGGGGGCUGCUACAAGAUAACAUCAACACUAGUGUCAAAGAGCAAGUGGCCAUGUUCCUCCAUGUUGUUGGAACCAGAGGUUCGGGGUCAUUCACAACACGUUUAGGAGAUCCAUGGAGACCAUCUCUAGGUACUUCAAGCAGGUGCCUUUUGCUGUUGGGGAGCUUAGAGGAGAGAUGA